rnacentral:rRNA from 1 species
CACCGCGGUUAUACGAGAGGCCCGAGUUGACAGAAAUCGGCGUAAAGAGUGGUUAAUAAAAUUUAAACUAAAGCCAAACACCUUCAAGGCUGUUAUACGCAUCCGAAGGCAGGAAGCUCCCCAACGAAAGUGGCUUUAACCAAUUAUGAACCCACGAAAGCUAGGAAA